rnacentral:rRNA from 1 species
GAUGAACGCUAGCUACAGGCUUAACACAUGCAAGUCGGGGGCAGCGGGGCGGUAGCUUGCUACCGCCGCCGGCGACCGGCGCACGGGUGAGUAACGCGUAUCCAACCUUCCCCACAGUAGGGAAUAGCCCGGCGAAAGUCGGAUUAAUGCCCUAUACAGUCCUUCGAGAGCAUUUGAAGAGGAUUAAAGAUUUAUCGCUGUGGGAUGGGGAUGCGUCUGAUUAGGCAGCAGGCGGGGUAACGGCCCACCCGGCCGACGAUCAGUAGGGGUUCUGAGAGGAAGGUCCCCCACAUUGGAACUGAGACACGGUCCAAACUCC